CACAGUUCCGGAGUGGAGGGAGGAAGUGCAUUCCUGCUGCCAGGUCCUCCUCCUCUCCGCCGCGCUCGCCUGGAGCUCCGCGGUUCUCCGCCUCCUCCGCGGGUCCUGGAAGGCAUAUCGAGGUAGCAGUUAGCUGCUGAAGGGGCAGAGAUGUUGCAGGAUCCUGGGCAAGUAUCCAACAAAACUCAACAGUGGACGCCCCUCGUGGGCAGAGAAGAUAGCGGACGCCUCUACCCUGGUGUGAAACCGGUCACGUUUAUUCGGAGAGAAGUGAAAAGCUGGAAACGAGGUGUUUUGAUAAAGGGAUCCCCGACAAAAUGUGACUGUUAACUAGGACAGAACUGAAAAGUGGAAGUAAAUCCCCCACCGGACGACUGGGAACUAAGUGAAACCUCUUCACUGGAAGCCAAGGAACCUGUUUACAGACGAUUAGAAGGGAUCAGCCCAGAAACCCGGAUCUGACCUGGCAGGAAGCUCCCAACCUUCAGCUUCUACCUGCCUGUCCAGCCCAUUUGCUGAGCAGGUCAGGAUGCAUGGAGUAUGCAGGUCCUCAUCUCUGCCUCUAGCUUCUGCAGAGAGUUACCAGGAGGCAAGGCAAGGGGCUUGCCGAGGCGAUGCUGCCGAGGUGACCCUGCCAAUCCUCCGAGCCCCUCCGGGGUCCUGGCCACAGCACACACAGCCCCUUCACUUCACGAGGGAGGAGGCCACAAUUACAGCUGCUCGGGGCUUGAGGAAGGGGGAGAACAACCUUAUCCUGACAACAUCCCCAUGUUGAGUGAGAAACUCCUGCACCUGGGAAAAGAAGUGCACAUCGUGUGAACUGCUCGGGAAAGCAAUGAAGAGGGACAGACAGUUCUUACGGCCAUGACCUGCACAUUAGUCCCCUCCAAUUUUGUCAAGGGCUCUCUCCUUCUUUGAGCUCACAGACAUUGUUUUC